rnacentral:rRNA from 1 species
UACGUAGGGUCCGAGCGUUGUCCGGAAUUAUUGGGCGUAAAGGGCUCGUAGGCGGUUCGUCACGUCGGGAGUGAAAACUCGGAGCUUAACUCCGAGCCUGCUUCCGAUACGGGCAGACUAGAGGUAGGCAGGGGAGAGCGGAACUCCUGGUGUAGCGGUGGAAUGCGCAGAUAUCAGGAAGAACACCGGUGGCGAAGGCGGCUCUCUGGGCCUUACCUGACGCUGAGGCGCGAAAGCAUGGGGAGCGAACGGG